GGGGGUAUAGCUCAGUGGUAGAGCGCUCCCUUAGCAUGGGAGAGGACUGGGGUUCAAUUCCCCAUACCUCCA
rfam:Caenorhabditis japonica strain DF5081 Contig17786.3, whole genome shotgun sequence.